rnacentral:misc_RNA from 1 species
GAUGAAGAACGUAGCAAAAUGCGAUAAGUAAUGUGAAUUGCAGAAUUCAGUGAAUCAUCGAAUCUUUGAACGCACAUUGCGCCCGCUGGUAUUCCGGCGGGCAUGCCUGUUCGAGCGUCAUUUCAACCCUCAAGCCCCCGGGUUUGGUGUUGGGGAUCGGCUCUGCCCUUCUGGGCGGUGCCGCCCCCGAAAUACAUUGGCGGUCUCGCUGCAGCCUCCAUUGCUUAGUAGCUAACACCUCGCAACUGGAACGCGGCGCGGCCAUGCCGUAAAACCCCAACUUCUGAAUGUUGACCUCGGAUCAGGUAGGAAUACCCGCUGAACUUAAGCAUAUCAAUAAGCGGAGGA